GUAGUCCACGCCGUAAACGAUGAGAACUAGAUGUUGGGAGGGUUUGCCUCUCGGUGUCGCAGCUAACGCGUUAAGUUCUCCGCCUGGGGAGUACGCCGGCAACGGUAAAACUCAAAGGAAUUGACGGGGACCCGCACAAGCGGUGGAGCAUGUGGUUUAAUUCGAUGCAACGCGAAGAACCUUACCUGCCCUUGACAUGUCCGGAACCCUGCAGAGAUGCGGGGGUGCCUUCGGGAACCGGAACACAGGUGCUGCAUGGCUGUCGUCAGCUCGUGUCGUGAGAUGUUGGGUUAAGUCCCGCAACGAGCGCAACCCUUGUCCCUAGUUGCCAACGCGUAAUGGCGGGAACUCUAGGGAGACUGCCGGUGACAAACCGGA
rnacentral:rRNA from 1 species